CGGCGAGUGAAGCGGCAACAGCUCAGAUUUGAAAUCUGGCCCCCCGCGGGCCCGAGUUGUACUUUGGAGAGGACGCUUCUGGCGCGGCGCCGGCCGAGUGCCCUGGAACGGGCCGCCGGAGAGGGUGAGAGCCCCGUACGGCCGGCCGCCUAGCCUCUGCGAAGCUCCUUCGACGAGUCGAGUAGUUUGGGAAUGCUGCUCAAAAUGGGAGGUAAAUUUCUUCUAAAGCUAAAUACCGGCCAGAGACCGAUAGCGCACAAGUAGAGUGAUCGAAAGAUGAAAAGCACUUUGAAAAGAGGGUUAAACAGUACGUGAAAUUGCUGAAAGGGAAGCGCCUGUGGCCAGACUUGCGCCCCGCGGACCACCCGGCGCCCGCGCCGGGGCACGCCGCGGGGCGCAGGCCAGCAUCGGCUCUCCCAGGGGGACAAAGGCCGCGGGAACGUAGCGCCCUCGGGCGUGUUACAGCCCGCGGCGCCAUGCCCCUGGGGGGGCCGAGGACCGCGCUCCGGCAAGGAUGCUGGCGUAAUGGCCACCGGCGACCCGUCUUGAAACACGGACCAAGGAGUCAAGCAGUGGGGCGAGUGUCUGGGUGGCAAACCCGCACGCGGAAUGAAAGUGAACGCAGGUGGGAGCUUCGGCGCACCACCGACCGAUCCUGAUGUCUUCGGAUGGAUUUGAGUAGGAGCCUUGCCGCUUGGACCCGAAAGAUGGUGAACUAUGCCUGUAUAGGGUGAAGCCAGAGGAAACUCUGGUGGAGGCUCGCAGCGGUUCUGACGUGCAAAUCGAUCGUCAAAUAUGGCA
rnacentral:rRNA from 1 species